GUCCAAACAAAAAGCCAACAUCAGGAGAUCACAAACACAUCUCAUUCUAUCAACAGAAACUUACAUAAGUAAAUGAAUAGCUUUACCCAUAACUCAAGUAAUAACAACCAGAUUUCAGUCUGCAAACUUUCAGAUUCUUUAGCCAAAUCCAACUAGUUCGGAAUUGCGAUGUAGUUGAUUGAUACUUGAACAAAGACAGUUUUUUUUUUA
rnacentral:lncRNA from 1 species